rnacentral:RNase_P_RNA from 1 species
GGAGUGGACCAGGCGACCGCUGUGCGGCCUCGCAACUGGCCGCACAGAGGAAAGUCCGGGCUCCACAGGGCAGGGUGGUGGGUAACGCCCACCGUCCGUGAGGACAGGGAAAGUGCCACAGAGAACAGACCGCCGAUCGGGAGACUCCGUCUCCAGGAGGCAAGGGUGAAACGGUGCGGUAAGAGCGCACCAGCAGGUCGGGUGACCGGCCUGGCUCGGCAAACCCCACCCGGAGCAAGACCAAAUAGGGAGGAACGCGGCAUUCCGCCGCUCCGGAUUGGCCCGAUCCGGCGACUCCCGGGUAGGUCGCACAAGGCGGCGAGCAAUCGUCGUCUCAGAUAAAUGGUCGCCCUCGACAGAACCCGGCUUAUCGGUCCACUCCGCAU